rnacentral:tRNA from 1 species
GGGUUGUAGUUUAGUAGAAAAUUCAUAUGUAGCAUGUAUGGGAGAUGGGGCUCUA